GGGGGGGCGCCGUCAUGCUCUCUUCUUCCCUGUGACUUCCUAAAACGUUGCUUCGGCGGGAACAGACGGCCCUGAAACAACGGGCCGCCCCCGCCAGAGGACCCCUAACUCUGUUUUUAUAAUGUUUUUCUGAGUAAACAAGCAAAUAAAUUAAAACUUUCAACAACGGAUCUCUUGGCUCUGGCAUCGAUGAAGAACGCAGCGAAAUGCGAUAAGUAAUGUGAAUUGCAGAAUUCAGUGAAUCAUCGAAUCUUUGAACGCACAUUGCGCCCGCCAGUAUUCUGGCGGGCAUGCCUGUUCGAGCGUCAUUACAACCCUCAGGCCCCCGGGCCUGGCGUUGGGGAUCGGCGGAAGCCCCCUGUGGGCACACGCCGUCCCUCAAAUACAGUGGCGGUCCCGCCGCAGCUUCCAUUGCGUAGUAGCUAACACCUCGCAACUGGAGAGCGGCGCGGCCAUGCCGUAAAACACCCAACUUCUGAAUGUUGACCUCGAAUCAGGUAGGAAUACCCGCUGAACUUAAGCAUAUCAAAUAAGCGGAGGAA
rnacentral:rRNA from 1 species